UCGAUGAAGGGCGCAGCAAACUGCGAUAAGUCUUGGCUAGGCGUAGGCAGCCUUUGAACCAAGAAUUCCCUAAUGUGAAUUCAUACUAGCUUCGGCUAGUGAUUCGAAAGAAUCGAUAACCCGCUGGAUUGAAGCAUCUUAGUAAGCGGAGGAAAAGAAAACGAAUGUUAUUCCGUUAGUAACGGCGAGUAAAAACGGAAAAGAGUGAACCGAAUUGCUGUAGAAAUACAGUUAAGAUGUGGAGCCUGGUACAACUUCGCUAGUUGAUUUGAAGUCUGCUGGGAAGCAGUCCCAUAGAUGGUGAUAGGCCAGUAAAAGAAAACUAGAAAGCUGAUUCAGGAAACGAGUACCAUUCCUUGAAUGGGGAGUGGAAAGGUGGUCGUCAUCAACGACUAACUCUAAAUAUCUCGAAAGUCUGAUAGCGAAUAAGUAAGGUGACUGAAAGCUGAGAAGUAUUCUUCACCGGAGGUGAAAAGAUCUUGAAACCUAUUGGCGAUCGUCAUCCAUGGUCUGAAAGGUUCUCUUGCGAAGGAAAACUGCGCAAGCAGUAUAUACGAGCAAGAGAUUACAGGAUUAUGGAGUCCGUUUAGAAACACGGAGCAGGGAGUUUGUUUUUGUGGCGAGAGUAAUUUGUUAAGCAAAGUAUUCGUAGCGAAAGCAAAAGUGUGUAGCGCAAGUAUGACACUAGGUCUGAAAGGGCCUGAAGUCACAGGGACAAGACCAGAAACCGCUUGAUCUAAUCCCAAUCAAGAUGAAGCGUAGCGAAAGCUGCGUGGAGGUCUGAACCGAUGUUGGAGAAACCACUCGGAUGAAUUGGGGUUAGGGGUGAAAAGCCAAUCGAAAGUGGUGAU
rnacentral:rRNA from 1 species